rnacentral:rRNA from 1 species
GAGGAAUAUUGGUCAAUAGCCUAACGGCUGAACCAGCAACUUGGAGGAAUGUAUAGCAACAGCUACUUGUAUCAUUGUAGAUAUGAUGCAGGAUCGACUAUGUCGAAUAAAAUUCUAGGUAGAAUUAUGAUAAUGACAUUGUCUGCCUAUGUGUCUUGACCAAAUUACGUGCCAGCCGUCGCGGUAAUACGUAGAAGACUAGUGUUAUUCAUGUUUAAUCGGUUUAAAGGGUACCUAGACGGUAAAUCAAGCCUACAAAUAAAAGAAAUGAAGGGACUAAUUUGCUAGAGUUACUUAUGAGGGGGUAUUAAAGUACUGCUGGUGUAGAGAUGAAAUUCUGUCAUACCUCUUUUCAAUAGAAAAAUAAUGGCACAGGUAUAGGCGAAAGCAUCCCCUUAUGUGAUAACUGACGUUGAGGGACGAAGGCUUUGUGUAGCGAACAGGAUUAGAUACCCCAGUAGUCAAAGCAGAAAAUGAUGAAUGUCAUAGAUUAGAUAAAUAAGUUUAUUCUAUAAAUGAAAGUGUAAGCAUUCCACCUCAAGAGUAAUUUGGCAACAUUGGAACUGAAAUCAUUAGACCGUUUCUGAAACCAGUAGUGAAGUAUGUUGUUUAAUUUGAUGUUCCGCAAAAAACCUUACCACAAUUUGAAUAUUUAUAUUUUUUUAUCGUUUUAUUUUCUUAUGGUUUUCUUCAUCAUAUCCUUGUUCUCCUUUAUCUCGGAUGAUCAUUUCGGAUGANGCGGAGAUGAAGAAGAUCCUAA